AGUGGCGAACGGGUGAGUAACACGUGGGUGAUCUGCCCUGCACUUUGGGAUAAGCCUGGGAAACUGGGUCUAAUACCGGAUAUGACCUGCCCUGUAGAUGGGGUGGGUGGAAAGAUUUAUCGGUGUGGGAUGAGCCUGCGGCCUAUCAGCUGGUUGGUGGGGUAAUGGCCUACCAAGGCGUCGACGGGUAGCCGGCCUGAGAGGGUGACCGGCCACACUGGGACUGAGA
rnacentral:rRNA from 1 species